UCUCUGGCAGUGGUGUGAACGUGUAUGCCUGCCUCUAUUUUUCGUUUAGUGCUACUCCCCUCGAGCCGCUGUCAAUCGUCGAAUCGUAGCCAACGCGUCUCGUCUCAUUCAGUCAUUCAGUCAUGUGGUGAGACUGUCCGCAAGCGAACUGCACCUCUUGCGUUAAGCCGAAUCGAGUCGAGUGCAAGCCAUAGUUGGUGUCCGGUAUCGGACAGCGGUAGUGUCCAGCUGUGAAAAAUGAUCACGAGAAGAGCCUUAUAGUCUCGCUUCAUUGUCAGCUUCAAGGACGCAGGAUGCGCGCUUCAUCGUGCUGCAUUUUUUGGACCCUGGCUGCCCUGACGCAGGUGGCCCUUUGCACAGACCUGGUGAUCCAGAUUCCGGGCAAUCCAAGCUCGGAGGGCGGCAUCUACCGUCUGGACUACGACCCCCCGCGGGGGCUGCCCCCUACGAACGCGACCUUCUCCUCAAAGGACAUCCGCAACGACACGAUCGCCUUCAAGAACGGCUUGCCUGGCACGCGUUACUCGUUCAAACUCUACUACACCAACUCCACCUUCAACGACCUGCUGACCUGGCGCGCGUCCAUCACCACGCCGCCCGACCCGCCGUCCAAUUUGUCGGUCACAGUCGUCAGCGGUGACACGGCCAAGAUCAACUGGAGCCCGCCCAAGCAAGGCGGAUACUCGGGCUACAAAUUAAAGGUUGUUCCUUUGCCAGAAAUCGGAAACAGCGCCCAGACUUAUGACAGCAGCGUGUCACCGUUCGUUCUGCAGAACCUCACUUCUGGCGCCUCUUACCAAGUGCAGCUCUUCUCAGUCUACGAGGGAAAAGAGAGCAUCGCGUACACGUCUCAUAACUUCACCACCAAGCCGAACACGCCCGGAAAGUUCAUAGUCUGGUUCAGGAAUGAGACGACCCUGCUCGUGCUGUGGCAGCCCCCCUUCCCGCCUGGCGUUUUUGAUUACUACAAGGUCUCGAUCGAGCCAUCGGACGCCAGGGAGAGCGUGCUGUACGUCAAGGACGAAGGAGAGCCUCCCGGCCCUGCGCAGGCGGCAUUCAAAGACCUCGUGCCCGGUCGGGCGUACAACAUUUCAGUGCAGACGAUGAGUGAGGGCGAGGUCUCCAUCCCGACGACCGCGCAAUACCGCACUGUGCCAGAGAGGCCGCUCAGCGUUACGUUUGAGGAGGGCAGCAUCACCUACAACUCCUUCAGAGUCGUGUGGGAAGGGCCAAACGAAGAGACCGAGUUUGACAAGUACCAGAUCUCGUUGAACGGCAUGCGGCGACCAGCGCCCGUGAUAAAAGGCAAAGAGUCACCGCGCAUCCUUGAGUUCCGCGACGGCCUGGAGCCAGGCAAGACGUACCAGGUCAGCGUUAAGACUAUGUCCGGCAAGGUUGCCAGCUGGCCCACCACGGCGAACGUCACUCUGAUCCCGCUCAGCGUGAUACAUCUCAGCUCGAGCACCGAUGAGGAUACCGGUGACGUCAUCAUCAAGUGGACGCCAAACCCGGCCAGCCACCAAGACUCAUACAAGUUAAGCUAUCACGAGGUGGACACAAACAAUGGCGACCGCGACACCAACAACAUGAUUGUGCUGGACACAAGCUCUCGGCUAGAGUCUCUCCUGCCGGGCCGCAAUUACUCCAUCACCGUGCACGCGAUCAGCAAUCAAGUCGAGAGCAACGGCACCUCAAUAUACCAAGCGACGAAGCCCUCAUCGCCAAUCAUCGAAGAUUUGCGGCCCACGCACUUUGGGCUCAACAUUUCCUGGAAAUCAGACGUGAACUCAAAGCAGGAUGAAUAUGAGGUGACCUACAGCCGUAACGACACAGGCCACGUCGUCAAGACCAUUACUUCCACGUCUAAUCUGUCGCUGACCGGACUCGAGCCAGGCGCCGGUUACCACCUGCAGGUCGUCGCUAUCAGCCACGGCCUCAGGAGCGAGCCACACGUCAACUUCCAGGCCGUCUAUCCUCAACCACCAAGAAAUUUGACGAUCGAAAAGCUGACGAGUAACUCAGUUUUGGUAAAAUGGCAGCCACCUGAAGAUUCAAUCUUCUCAGAGUACAUCAUCAGGCAUCAAACUGACGAUGGCAAGUUCUACAAGCUGCCGGCAGUAAAGGAGAACGAGACUGAAAUCAUAGACAUGAUCCCUGGAGAAAAGUACCUGAUCCAGGUCAACACCGCCAGCUUUGGUGUCGAGAGCACUGAUCCACCAGAGGUCACCCAGACAAUCCAACCUAACGGGGUGUCAAACAUCGAGUCUCUGAUCGACUCUGUAAACGUGACUCUUGCAUGGCCCAAGCCCGAGGGCCGCAUCGACUUUUACUCAAUCGCCUGGAAGCUAGAGGAGGAGCUGAACGACCCUGAGGAAGACGAGGACAACGAUGAGGAGAGCUCAGUGCCUAUAGCAGGCAGCAAGAACAUUUCUACGUCAGAUGUGGUCGAGAACAAUGGCAAAGUCAGCGUGCUGAUUGGCGAGCUUAUUCCCGGCGCCAAGUACAGCUUCCUCAUCUACACCACGUCACAUGGACAAAACAGUGAUGUCACUGAAUUUGUCACCAGGACAAUGCCUUUGCUUCAAACGGAAAUUGUUGUGGUGAACGACCAGCAGAUCAGCGACGCUUUGACGCUGCGCUACACGAAGACACCCAAGUCGGUAUCGAGAUUCGACACGUAUCGCUUCAUGCUCUCCGACCCGAACAUUCCGCUGAAGGAAAAGGCGGCCAACGACACAGAGACCAAGGUCACUUUCACUGACCUCGUGCCCGGCAGACUGUACAACAUCACUGUCUGGACCGUGUCUGACGGUGUUGAGAGCCUGCCCCUCCAGCGCCAGGACAGACUUUAUCCAAAGCCGAUCACUUGGAUCAACGCGUCGCGGGUUACGGACACAGAGGUGACCCUGAUGUGGGACAAGCCAGACGGCGAAUACAACCGCUUCGAGGUGCAGUACCUGAACCUUGAUGGCGACCUGCUGCAAAACUUAACCCUGGACACUAGCAUCACCCUUUCUGGCCUGAAGCCCUAUCGCAACUACACCUUCACCGUGGUUGUACGCUCUGGCAGUGAGUCGUCCGCCCUGCGCCGCUCCCUGCCGGUCAGCUCUACCUUUUCCACUCAGGAGUCAGUGCCCAACAAGGUUGAGAGGUUUAUCCCUGUACAUGUGAAACCUAAGGAAAUCGAGUUUGAGUGGUACCUGCCGCCAAGUGACCACAAUGGCGUCAUCCAGCAGUACACAAUAACUUACGGCCUGGAGGGUUCCAAGAACACAAAGGAGGAGCACUUCCAGCCAUCUGAGCUGCAUGGUGUGAUCCGCAAUUUGAUUCCCGGUAAAACGUACCUAUUCAAAAUCCAGGCGAAAACCAGGGUCGGCUACGGUCCUGAGGUGAUCAACAAGUCCAAGACUCCUAUUUUGUCGCCGCCCAAGCCUGGCAGUCAGGUGGUGCCAACAGAGGUGCGCCGCACCUCCAGCUCCAUCCAAAUUCGCUUCCGCAAGAACUACUUCUCCGAGGAGAAUGGUGAGGUUGUUGCAUACGCCAUUAUCGUAGCUGAAGAUACAAGCAAGAACGCAUCCGGCCUCGAGAUGCCCAGCUGGAAGGACGUGCAGGCCUACAACUCGUGGCCGCCCUACCAGGUGAUGGAACCGUAUUUCCCGUUCCAAAACUCGACCGUUGAGGACUUCACGAUCGGUUUGGACACCAAUUGUGAGAGCAGGAAGGGCUACUGCAAUGGCCCUCUCAAGUCUGGAACCACUUACAGUGUCAAAAUCAGAGCUUUUACCGCGCCAGACAAGUUCACGGACACGCACUACAGCUUCGCCAUUCAGACAGACAAUGACAACACGGCCUGGAUCGUCGGCUUCACGAUUCCCGUGCUGGUACUGCUUGUUGUGUUGAUGUCUGUCAUGGCCGUGCGAAGGAAGAAGAAUGUGUGCAACAACCUGGAGGCCAGGCACAACGACGCCAUGUCGCUUCCUGACAGCGUCAUGGAGACCAGUCGUCCCGUGAAGCUUAAGGAAUUUGCGGAGCACUACCGCAUCAUGUCAGCCGAUUCGGACUUCCGGUUCAGUGAGGAAUUUGAGGAGCUGAAGCAUGUGGGCCGCGAGCAGGCGUGCACGGCGGCCGACCUGCCUGUGAACCGGCCAAAGAACCGGUUCACCAACAUCCUACCGUACGACCACUCGCGCUUCAAGCUGCAGCCGUUGGACGAUGACGAGGACGGCAGCGACUACAUAAACGCCAACUAUGUGCCCGGUUACAACUCGCCGCGCGAGUUCAUCGUCACGCAGGGCCCGCUGCACUCGACGCGCGACGACUUCUGGCGCACCUGUUGGGAGAGCAACAGCAAGGCCAUCAUCAUGCUGACGCGAUGUGUCGAAAAGGGCCGCGAGAAGUGCGACCACUACUGGCCCUACGACACGCAGCCUGUCUACUAUGGUGAUAUUCAGGUCACCAUCCUCAACGAGAGCCUCUACCAGGACUGGAACAUUGCAGAGUUUCGCAUGUGCAGGGGUGACUCGAGCCGACUGAUCAAGCACUUCCACUUCUCGACGUGGCCCGACUUCGGUGUUCCGGACCCGCCGCAGACGCUGGUGCGGUUCGUACGGGCGUUCAGGGAGCGCGUGCCGCCGGACCAGCGGCCGAUUGUGGUGCACUGCAGUGCCGGCGUGGGCCGCUCGGGCACGUUCAUCGCGCUCGACCGCAUCCUGCAGCAAAUCAAAAAGGACACCGAGGUGGACAUCUUUGGCAUCGUGUACGCCAUGCGCAAGGAGCGCGUUUGGAUGGUGCAGACGGAGCAGCAGUACAUCUGCAUUCACCAGUGCCUACUUGCCGUGCUCGAGGGCAAGGAGAACGACUAUGGGCCCAGGGAGAUCCACGAGAACGAGGGCUUUGACGGUAAAGGUCGGACGACUCUAGUCGCCUCGUUGGAGAAGGCAAGAUGACAGCCUCCCUUUGGUGCGAACCCUGGCUCUCAUUCCAACACCUUUCGCUCGAUCGCUGCUGGGCUCUAGUUCUUUAUGACGACGAGGGCAUCGCCGAGUCCGGCAUGUAAAUAUGUUAUUAUUGAAACGAACCCGUCAAAAAAACUCUGCGCAGCCAUAAAGUAAUUGUUGUAUAGUGCCUAGACGACUGUUUUUGCAGCAGCUUAAGCGACGACGAAUUUUUUGUUCAAGCCGGAAGGAAGAUCUGUGUACAUAAGACAUUUUGAUCCUCCUCUGCCAGGGGUUUGUCUCCAAAAUAUUUGCCCUGGCAGAAAGGAAGAUGAACCUGCGUUUGUGUUGGACGAAUAGAUAGGACUUUUGGAAUCGACGAUCUACGCUGAUAUUCGAAUUUUUUUCGCAGUUUAUCAACGUACUGAUUUGUGAUAUAUAUAUAUAUAUCUUAUUGCUGGGACCUGAGCGGACGGGAUCUCCUCAGGGUCUAAAACUAAAUUUUUGAAAGCAGUGCCUUUCGAUAUAUUGAACGGAAACAAACGCACCGUCCACACACGGAUAUUUUGUACGCAUCGAAUUUGAUAUGUGAAUUCGACAAUAAUAAUACUCGUGUAGAGUUGUGAAAUAAAGCAAUGCGAAUAUGACGAAUUUA